UGCUUAAGCAAAGGAGUCUUUGGACUCCUAAGAAAUGCAGGAGUUAGACAACCCUAGCAUUCAUUUUUCAGGACAGCAGUCUAUUGCAUCUUUAUUAUAAAUGAAUCAGUUAAUUUUAUUUAGUGAAAAAAAGCCACAGGUAGAGUUAAAAAGGAAAGGUUUGGAAAGUGGUGCAAUCAGCAUUGAAAAGGAAUACUCUUGGAGGCAAAAUUAUGGCCUUUUUGAAUGGGAAGUUGGUUGUCUAAUUUUUUUUUUGUUUGUUUUUUUUCAAAUUUUAAAGUGUUUCCACUGCUGUCACCUCUGGCUGCAAGUUAGAGUGGCACAAGAAUUGCUAGGCCAAGAUCAGUUGCAAAUAACUAGAGUCUAUGUCCAAAAUUAAGCUGCAGUAAAUAACAAGUAUUUAAUAAUGAUUUGCAUGCCUAUCAUGCUUUCUGCUGAAGGAUCUAAAGGCAUGUAACGACCAUUGAUUCAUCUUUCAGCACCCCUGCCAGAGAGGUCUGGCUGUCCAACAAAGGAGGUACCAUCUGCCAACCCUCACAUCAAACACAUUGCAAUUUGUGGCUACAGAACUACUUCACAACUCCUGAAGCAUUGGUACUUUUACUGUGGAGAACAAAAAAAAAAAAAAAUGAAAUAAAGUUCCCGGGAAACAGAUCAGGUAUGAAGAUUGGCUGAAUUGGAAAUGAAGGAGAAAAAAAAUCCGACAUGUGGCACACGAGAAGAAUUAUAGUGUCUCAUCGAAAUGCUUUAAGGCUGUUGGAUGGAAAACAACGACAGAAGAGCAAUUUGCUUUACGUAUAUUCAUCAUUUAAUCCUGCUAGCUUUUUUGGAGCAUUUGCUUGUUUAAGCCCCAGUGGGAAGAUCAGCUUCCAUCCUUCCUGGAAAAUGGGGAGGAGGGCAACAAAUGACAAAGCCUGCUGCUGUGAAGCUUCAUCUUCCAGGUCGUUUUUCCUUUUCUGGUUAUUUCUGAGAUGGGGAAAAAUUCAGCUUUUGAUAAUCAAGUCCAACUCCCGAUGACUGAAGUGGGAGCUGAAGAAUGUACAAAUGCCACUAGUAUUUAAGCCCUAAUGCUCUAUGAUAGAUUCUUCCUUUGACUACACAAGCAACAGCUGUCUAGCUUCCUGUUCAGUACAGGAUCUAAUGCCUCUACAGAAAUCUAGGUCAAAACACUUGGAAUGUAUGAAUAUCAAACAGAGUUUUCAAAACAGCAAAUGAAUACAUCUUUAACUGGUGACAUUUUCCUGUAGCAUAUGGCUGCAAGCUCAGGGGACUGCAUGCUUUUUUGAUGAAUAUGUUCCGUCAAAAACUAAGGAAUGGCAGUGGGCUUAUAUCACCUUCUGUUUUGCCUUAUGAAAUGAUAAUGCAAACUCAGAGAUAGAUACCACUAUUACAAGACUUUUACCUUUUGUCCAAUCCCACAGUAGUUAAAGGCCUACUGGUUAAGUGACUAUGUCUUUGGUUGUGCUACACUAUAACAGAUAGCUGUCAAAGAUGCAAUUGUAUAAAGCACUUACCAAGUCACGGAGGGCAUAGGCUUCCGUGCAUUCCCAUACUCGUGGAAAAUAGCAAAAUGCAGAACGAGGAAAGUGACCCUGGUUAAUUAUAUAGCUUUGUGGAGAGAGAACGCCAAGGAAACAACUUGGACAAAAGAAAGGCCUGGUAUGUACUAACAAAUUGCAAUUUGCCAUUACAGUUCGGCAAGCUGUAUAUCAUCUAUGUGGUAGACACAGCAGCCUUCUAAUGAAGGAAAAUGGAAAAAAAAAAAAAUAAAAGAACAGGUUGAAAUGAAAAAAGUAGGGAUAAAAAACCAAAACAAAACAAAACAUGACACCCACCCCACACCCCAAACAACAUUAAACUAGCAUUCACCAGAAAACUGUUCUCAAAAGUCAAUCCGUUAUCCUUUAAAGUAAAAGCUUUUGACCUAGGAAUGAAGGUUUCCAUGUACUGCAGUUAAAUACCAGAAGCAGCUGAAUAAUUAAAACACAUUAUCUGUAAAGAAUCCAUUUACUGAUUAAUAGUAAAAAAUUGAGACUAAUUUAUUUGAUGACGAUUAUUUAACCAUCUAUGCAUCCAGUCAAAUAAUGAAUCAAAUGUGUUCAUGAAUAAUGCAUUUGUUAAUUGUUGAAGGAGGUAGAAAAAUCACAAUGUUUCCCAAGAACGAGGCUGACAACUGAGCACUUGCUCUUUGCCUAACCUUAAGCAUGUGAAUUGUCACAUUAAAAGGAAUAAGGCUGUACACAUGCUUAAAGUGAGGGAUAUUGUUUAAGUAGCUCAUUGAACUGCAGCCUAGAUUCUGAAUUCAGUACUCUCGGGGAUAAUAUCCUGACUCCACUGAGGUUGGUGGUGAACCUCCCCUUGAUUUCAUUUGGAAUAGGAUUUCCCCAUAGCAGUCAAAACAUUUGUUCUACAUUGAAGGCGUUAUAGCCAAAAUCAAGCUUCAGACCACUGGGCCAAAUAGUGGCUGUAUGAAACUGCAGAGUGCUUCAGUUGGAGCAAUACCUCUAGUAUUCAAGCAAUGCCAGAUAUUAUUACAGCUGUCAAAGGCAUCCCAAUGCCUCCUGGAUGAUAGGUAUAUACAUAUAUAUGUCAGGCAAGAACAACUGCUGCACUUUCAAAAGAUGUAACCACUUUUUCCUUGCUGUGCCCUGCGGAAGGGAGUCAUAGCUGUGACCAUGCUCCCAGCCCAAUCCAGGUACGUCCCAGUCUGUCCCCACCAUCUGAGCUCCCCAGAGCUGCAUCCUGUAAUACAUAUGGGAAAUAAUUAACAAUGAAGCUAAUCUCACAGUCACCAAGAUAUUCCACUAAUCCCAGGUUAUCAAGAAAAGAAUGGGUGCACCAAUCCAGAAAACCAAGCCAUAGCUCUAGAUAAAGCCUGCUCUAGAUAAAGAAUUAAAAGAGAAGGCCUGAUACAGCAUGCAUGUCAAUAUACACAAAAAUCUAGGAAAGAAGUAAAUUCUAGAGUCAAAAUCCUAUACUUAGAACAUGUGACCCCCAGCUGUUAAAACCUAUCUAGGGACUGAUAACAUGAGUCUUCUCACUGAUUUCUAAUGUCAGGUUUUAGAGAUAGAAAGAGAGGGAAAGAACACCCAAGAAAAAAUAUUUAAACAUCACAUUUCUCACUGAUGUUAGGUGGGAGUGAGGAAUGCAUGCGUGUUCUGAUUUCCUGGUAAUAAAAUUUGCUUAGUUUUUUAAGGUAUUGUACUGGAUUAUGAUGAUGGCAUUCAGAUGGUGGGACUGAGCACACGUAGUGACUUUGCUGAUGACACCAAGUUAGGUGGAGUUGAAGACACUCUGGAGGUGAGGGCUACAGUCCAGAAUGGUCUGAAUAGACUGGAAAACUAGCCUGCAGUCAAUCCGAUGAGAUUCAACAAGGACAAGUGCAAAGUCCUGAACUUGGGAUAGAAUAACUGCAUACACAAACACAGACGGGGGAAAGACUGGGUGGGCUGCGGCAAUGAAGAGAAGAACCUGGGUGCUACAGUCAACCAGAAGCUGGAUAUGAGCCAACCAUGUGCUCUUGUUGCAAAAAAUAAAAAGCCAACAGCAUCCUGGGCUGUCUUAACAGAAGCAUCACUUGCAAAUCAAUGGAAGUGAUUCUUCUGCUCUAUUCAGCACUGGUGAGGCCUCAGUGUGAAGUACUGCGUUCAGUUUUGACCCUUGCAUUUCAAGAAGGAUUUGGACAGAUUGGAAAGAGUGCACCGCAGAGCAACAACAACGUUUAGAGGCCUGGGGAGCAUGACUUACGAGGAAAGACUUAAAAAAGCUAGGGGCGUUUAGUCUGGGAAAGAGAAGAUUGAGGGGAGAUUUGCUAGUGGAAGGGCAAUUCCAGAGAGGAGGGAGAUGGGCUUUUCUCUGUGGCCACAGGGAACAGGCCUAGGAGCAAUGGCCUCACUAUUGGGGAAAUUUAGGUUGAAGAUUAUAUGAGGAAUUGUCUCACUCUCAGGGUGGUGAAGCAUUGGAACAAGCUACCUAGAGAAGUUGUGGAGUCUCCAUCCUUGAAAAUUUUCAAGAGCAGGUCGGGCAGACACUUGGCUGAGAUGAUUUAGACAGUGAAGAUCCUGCCUUGCAGCCAGUGGGUUCGUGCUUUUUUUGGUUUGUUUUGUUUUGAGAAAUAUUGGCAUUUUUUCGGUAUCACCCAUCACAUACAAUGCCCCCCUCCAUCAGAAUACAUGGCCAGAAUACAGAAUCCAUAACCAGCUUCAAUGGAAAUACUCAGAUUGAUACUAGCUAAGGAUCUGGAUCAAGCUUUUCUAAGGGUAUUCUCUUCAGCUAUGAAAUUGCAAGAAUAAAUGUCUUUUUUUUUUGUUAUUUUGUUGCAAGAAAGAAAGCUGCUAAGAUAGCAAAUAUUUACUUUACGGCAAAUUCGCCAAAAUCCCUUCUUUGCUCUGCAUCAAAAAAUACUAUGCGAAAUGUCAUUGUUUGGGAGAUGAAGAACUCUUUUCUUUGGCAAUAAAAAAAAAAAGCUGUAAAAAUCUUG